AACGUUCGGGUUUACGAGUUUCCGUCGUUUCUGCAAACCAUUGGUUUAUCAGGCUAUUAUUAUUAUCAUUAAUAUUAUUAUUGAAAACAAACAGAUGAGACCUUUCAUACUACUUUAUUUAUUUGUUUGUUUGUUAAUUUUACCACUCGACUGCCUGCUAAGCCGGGUUUUCUUUAGGCACGACCAUGCUGUACAUAACGAAUAUGUUAAUUAAUUAAUUUCUACUUAAUUUUUCAGUAAACAGACAUUGUUUCUUCCCCAUCGCAGUCUUUAUAUAUUUGCUGUUUGGUCUUGGUCUUUUUUUUUCUUUUUUCUUUUUUUCUGGGCACCAUUUAUUAUAUCAAUAUUUGAAUUAUAAGUAUUAUAAUUAUUAAUAAUUAUUUAUUUAAGUAAACAGUCAUCAUUAAAAAAAGUUCAUUAUUAUCAGGCUGCUGCUGCUACUGUUGUUGUUGUUAUUGUUGUUUUAAGUGUAUUUCAGUAGGCUACAACUGAGGAUGGCGACCCCAAUCCAUGUCGUGAAGCCAGAUGCCCCUGAAAAUCGCCAGCAAGCUCGCCAGUACAGGGAAAGAAGGAUGGUCUUCCCUCACCUCCACUGCAGUUGCUGAACCAGUCGACUGCCCUGUCCCAUGCAGAGAAGAUCCUUGUGAAUGAGGGGAUCCCCACACAGACACAUCAGCAGCGUCUGGGAAAGCAGCAGGCAAGUACCUCCAUGGGUGAUCCCUCAUCAUGGCCAGGUGAUGCUGAUCUGGAAGCUGCAAGUCAGGCUGUGGAAGAUUUGCUCAAGACCCAGAGCUACAGAUAAGAGCCAGCCCUAGCAGUCAAUCUGUUAGAUUGCCUUCUCAGGAUCCCACUGUCUGGCCCAAGGAGUCAGAGCCCACUGUCAGGUCCAAGAAGUCCAGAUCCACUGUCCAGCCCGAGCAAUCAGAAUCCCAUUCCACAACCCAGGACCGUGUUUCACCCAAAGAACGACUGCUUACAGACUCCCCUAGCUACCUCCGGUGCCACAUCAGCCAGCGGUCCUCCCUUCACCGGACUACCCGAUCUUGCAGUAUGUGCCCACGCCUACCAUGGCUGGGACAGAAAUGUUGAAGGAGAGGACCGACAUAACUAUGCCACUCUCCUGCUCUAAACCGCCUUCACUUCUGCUGCCACUGGAGAGAAAAACCCCAGCCACUCCUCUUCUCUCCCUCUCUGUCUCUUCCGCUACAGCCACCUGUGGGAUUUCUGUGCCCAUCACACUUCUUGCAGUCAUCACCACUCAGGCAACUCCUCACAUUGCUGGUCCAGCCACAUUGCCUACCAGUCAGACCACUUUUACGUCACACAGUACAUCUGAUAUCUGCAAUCUGGGCAAGAUCUAUGCAUUACAAACACAAACCUUGGAACUGGGAGCCAAACUGUCAAGGGUGCAAAACCCCCCGAACUGCCCGCUCUGUGGCCAACCUGCCCAGGGACAUAAAAAAAAUACAAAAAAAGACUUUCUGUCCUGUAAAAAAUAAUGUCUCCAUCAAAAGGACUGGAACACAGAGUGUACGAAAGUUAUGAACAUUUUACCUCUGCUGUCAACCAGAUGGAAGCUGAAGGACCACGCAGAAUGUAAUGUUCUUAAAUGCUUUGUGUGUGUUCCCCAGUUAGUGGACUAUAUUUAUGUCUAUAUUAUGUCUGUAUUAUGUAUGUCUAUGUUAUGCAAUGUGUUUGAUUCACUUGUUUAUUUAAACUUGUUUCAUUUUGUUUGUGAAAAAAAAACAAAACAACAAAAACAAAACUAUUACACGGUUGCAUGCCAUUGUAUAAAUUGGAAAAAAAAAAAUUUUUAAUUGAGGUUUUAUUCUUAUUCAUAUUCAAUGAUGCUUGCUACACUGUAGUGCUGUGUUGCUUUUUUCAAGUGUUGCCCAUUUUAUGCUUUCCUCCC